rnacentral:rRNA from 1 species
AUUGAACGCUGGCGGCAUGCCUUACACAUGCAAGUCGAACGGUAACAGGUUAAGCUGACGAGUGGCGAACGGGUGAGUAAUACAUCGGAACGUGCCCAGACGUGGGGGAUAGCUCGGCGAAAGCCGGAUUAAUACCGCAUAAGCUCUGAGGAGGAAAGCGGGGGACCGUAAGGCCUCGCGCGUUUGGAGCGGCCGAUGGCAGAUUAGGUAGUUGGUGGGGUAAAGGCUUACCAAGCCUACGAUCUGUAGCUGGUCUGAGAGGACGACCAGCCACACUUGGACUGAGACACGGCCCAGACUCCGACGGGAGGCAGCAGUGGGGAAUUUUGGACAAUGGGCGAAAGCCUGAUCCAGCAAUGCCGCGUGCAGGAUGAAGGCCUUCGGGUUGUAAACUGCUUUUGUACGGAACGAAAAGGCGCCUACUAAUACUGGGUGUUGAUGACGGUACCGUAAGAAUAAGCACCGGCUAACUACGUGCCAGCAGCCGCAGUAAGAC